GACGAACGCUGGCGGCGUGCUUAACACAUGCAAGUCGAACGGAAAGGCCCUGCUUUUGUGGGGUGCUCGAGUUGCGAACUGGUGAGUAACACUUGAGUAACCUGCCCUUGACUUUGGGAUAACUUCAUGCAACUGGGGCUCAUCCCGGAUAGGAGCUCCUGCUUCUUGGUGGGGGUUGGAAAGUUUCGGCGGUUGGGGAUGGACUCGCGGCUUAUCAGCUUGUUGGUGGGGUAGUGGCUUACCAAGGCUUUGACGGGUAGCCGGCCUGAGAGGGUGACCGGACAAAUUGGGAAUGAGAUACGGCCCAGACUACUACGGGAGGCAGCAGUGGGGAAUAUUGCACAAUGGGCGGAAGCAUGAUGCAGCAACGCAGCGUGGGGGAUGACGGCAUUCGGGUUGUAAACCGAUGUCGCCUGUGACGAAGCGUGAGUGACGGUAAUGGGUAAAGAAGCACCGGCUAACUACGUG
rnacentral:rRNA from 1 species